UUGCUCAAUGGGAGAAAUCCUGAAGCAGCAACGCCGCGUGGAGGAUGAAGGGUCUAUGACUUGUAAACUCCUGUAAAGAAGGAAAAGAUUCCCAUUAGAUGGGAGAUGAUGGUACUUCUGGAGUAAGCCCCGGCUAACUACGUGCCAGCAGCCGCGGUAAUACGUAGGGGGCAAGCGUUGUCCGGAUUUCCUGGGUGUAAAGGGUGCUCAGGCGGAUUUGUAAGUCAGAGGUGAAAUCUUACAGCUUAACUGUGAAACUGCCUUUGAUACUGCAAGCCUAGAGUAUGGAAGAGAGUGAUGGAAUAUCUGGUGUAGCAGUGAAAUGCGUAGAUAUCAGAUAGAACACCAAUGGCGAAGGCAGUCACUUGGUCCAUUACUGACGCUAAAGCACGAAAGCGU
rnacentral:rRNA from 1 species